rnacentral:rRNA from 2 species
ACCGCGACCCCAGGUCAGGCGGGACUACCCGCUGA